rnacentral:rRNA from 1 species
UACGUAGGGGGCUAGCGUUGUCCGGAAUCAUUGGGCGUAAAGAGCGUGUAGGCGGUCCGGUAAGUCCGCUGUGAAAGUCGGGGGCUCAACCCUCGAAUGCCGGUGGAUACUGUCGGGCUAGAGUGCGGAAGAGGCGAGUGGAAUUCCUGGUGUAGCGGUGAAAUGCGCAGAUAUCAGGAGGAACACCUAUUGUGAAGGCAGCUCGCUGGGACGUAACUGACGCUGAGACGCGAAAGCGUGGGGAGCAAACAGG